CCUACGGGAGGCAGCAGUAAGGAGUAUUGGUCAAUGGAGGCAACUCUGAACCAGCCAUGCCGCGUGCAGGAAGAAGGCCCUAUGGGUCGUAAACUGCUUUUGUACCAGAGAAAACCCGAGUACGUGUACUCGGUUGAUAGUAUGGUAAGAAUAAGCAUCGGCUAACUUCGUGCCAGCAGCCGCGGUAAGACGAAGGAUGCAAGCGUUAUCCGGAUUCAUUGGGUUUAAAGGGUGCGUAGGCGGACUGAUAAGUCAGUGGUGAAAUCUCUCGGCUUAACCGAGAAACUGCCAUUGAUACUGUUAGUCUAGAGUAUAGAUGACGUUGGCGGAAUAUGACAUGUAGUGGUGAAAUACUUAGAUAUGUCAUAGAACACCGAUUGCGAAGGCAGCUAACGAAACUAUAACUGACGCUGAGGCACGAAAGUGCGGGGAUCAAACAGGAUUAGAUACCCUGGUAGUCCGCACCGUAAACGAUGAUUACUCGUUGUUGGCAAUAUGACCGUCAGCGACCAAGCGAAAGCGAUAAGUAAUCCACCUGGGGAGUACGCCGGCAACGGUUGAAACCUUAAAUGAAUUGACCGGNNGNGAGAGCGACGGACGACGACGAGGGAGGAGG
rnacentral:rRNA from 1 species